CCUACGGGAGGCAGCAGUGGGGAAUCUUGGACAAUGGGGGAAAGCCUGAUCCAGCAAUGCCGCGUGCGUGAAGAAGGCCUUCGGGUUGUAAAGCGCUUUUGUCCGGGAGGAAAUCCUGAGAGCUAAUAUCUAUUGGGGAUGACAGUACCG
rnacentral:rRNA from 1 species